rnacentral:lncRNA from 1 species
GCAUUUUUAUGUAUUUCGCCUCGUAGUUAACUCAGUUGAGCCUAUAAGCAUAUUUCUUUGGCAACCGCAUUACAGACCUUACCCAACUAUUUGAGCGGCCCAUCUGUUUGAAUCCCUUUACCUCCCAUGAGCACUUGAAUGGUUAUGAAAUAUGAAAAAAUUAUAGUGUGGGGUGGUGGUUCGGUUUUUGAGUGGAACCAAUAAAAUAG